rnacentral:rRNA from 1 species
GGACCCGCACAAGCAGUGGAGCAUGUGGUUUAAUUCGAUGCAACGCGAAAAACCUUACCUACACUUGACAUACUUCGAAUUUUCUAGAGAUAGAUUAGUGCCUUAGGGAACGAAGAUACAGGUGCUGCAUGGCUGUCGUCAGCUCGUGUCGUGAGAUGUUGGGUUAAGUCCUAUAACGAGCGCAACCCUCACCCUUAUUUGCCAGCGAUUCGGUCGGGAACUAUAAGGGGACUGCCGGUGAUAAACCGGAGGAAGGUGAGGACGACGUCAAGUCAUCAUGGCCCUUACGAGUAGGGCUACACACGUGCUACAAUGGCCGGUACAGAGAGCAGCCACUACGCGAGUAGGAGCGAAUCUACAAAACCGGUCUCAGUUCGGAUCGCAGUCUGCAACUCGACUGCGUGAAGCUGGAAUCGCUAGUAAUCGC